CCUGGGAAAGCAGAGAAAAUUUGAACCUGCACAGUCUGGACCCUCUGGCCUCACUUUCCUCAGCACCAGCCCACACCCAUCAGAAAGGCCUUGAGCCCUCAGACAAGCAAAGAAGCAAGAAGAGAGAAUCCAGCUCUGCUGUGGAGAUGCUAGGGGAGGCAGAUGCCUUCUCCCUCCAUGUCCACGAGGCUAUGGGAAUGAUAAACAGGACUGGCCCAGAAGAGAUCACCGAGUCUGCAGUUGUGAAGACAUGGAUUCAAACCCAGAUUCUAUCCACCCUGUAGUCCUAAUUAUAUCACUUGAUCUCUCUGAGUCUCAGUUUCUCCCUCUAUAAAAUGGGAACAACA